CUGCUGUUAAAGCGCAGGGCUCAACUCUGUAACGGCAGUGGAAACUGGGUGGCUAGAGUACGGUAGGGGCAGAGGGAAUUCCCAGUGUAGCGGUGAAAUGCGUAGAUAUUGGGAAGAACACCAGUGGCGAAGGCGCUCUGCUGGGCCGUAACUGACACUCAUGGACGAAAGCUAGGGGAGCGAAAGGGAUUAGAUACCCCUGUAGUCCUAGCUGUAAACGAUGGACACUAGGCGUUGGCCGUAUCGACCCGGUCAGUGCCGUAGCUAACGCGUUAAGUGUCCCGCCUGGGGAGUACGCACGCAAGUGUGAAACUCAAAGGAAUUGACGGGGGCCCGCACAAGCGGUGGAGUAUGUGGUUUAAUUCGAUGCAACGCGAAGAACCUUACCAGGGCUUGACAUCCCGCGAACCUCUGUGAAAGCAGAGGGUGCCUUCGGGAACGCGGAGACAGGUGGUGCAUGGCUGUCGUCAGCUCGUGUCGUGAGAUGUUGGGUUAAGUCCCGCAACGAGCGCAACCCUCGUCUUUAGUUGCCAUCAUUCAGUUGGGCACUCUAGAGAGACUGCCGGUGACAAACCGGAGGAAGGUGGGGAUGACGUCAAGUCAUCAUGCCCCUUACGUUCUGGGCUACACACGUACUACAAUGCUUCGGACAAAGGGUUGCCAACUCGCGAGAGUGCGCUAAUCUCAUAAACCGAGGCUCAGUUCAGAUCGCAGGCUGCAACUCGCCUGCGUGAAG
rnacentral:rRNA from 1 species